rnacentral:lncRNA from 1 species
CCGUUUUUAGCGUUGCAGUUAUGACAGGCAAAAUCAGCCAGUACUUUAAAAAGCGACCUCGCGAGGAGGAAAGUCAAGAGUCCAGGUGAAACACAGCAGAGAAAAAACGUAACAGGCAGUUAAAAUGCUAUAAUUCAUAGUGGUGACAACGUGGAAACUUGUGUCAGGUCUGAAAGUACUUCACAAGGGACUGGUGAUCGCGAGGGUCAGAAUGCAGGACAGGACGAGUCGGCGAGGCGAGGGUAAUUAAUUAAUUAGUUUCCAAUUAGGAGCAUAACAACGCAAAGCCAACGUGUACGUGGUUUUUAUUUCUCUUUCUAGAUCUUCUCAAAAACACAGAGCCAGUGGCUUUGACAAGCAGUGGCUCAAUCAAUUUACCUGGCUCAGGCAUACUGAGGAAGGCAUGCACUGCUGUUUAUGCCAAAAGCACUGUGCCCCAACACAGCAGGCAAUUGCUGCCUCCUUAGUGAGACAGCCAUCAACCAACUACAGGCUGGACAUAUUAAAAAGACAUGAGGUGACAGCCGUUCACAAAGCAGCAGAAGAGAAGGAGAAAUAUAUUAAAGAUGGUAGAACCUAAAAAAACUCAACUAAUAAAGUUACAAAAAAUAAAUAACAUAGUUUAGAUAGUUUAAGAAAUAAUUGGUUGUCGUUUUUUUUUUUUAGGGAGGACACUGCAGCGUAUACAUAUAUAUGAUUGAAAACACUAUCACUCUUCAUGUCUGUAUUAGAAUAAAAACAAAAAUACUUAAUGCAUGAUGAAUUGUUUUGUUUAAGGUGAAGACACCUCUGUGGAGCAGACUGAAGGAGAGGCACUUGGAUGUCUGUUGUAAGGUGGCCGUUGAUGGACCAGACCAGGAGGCCUUGGACUACAAGGAGUGCAUGAGGAGUUUCUACAGAAUGAAAAAGAGGAGGCUGAAAUGUUCUGUCUGGUUGCGAGAUGUGUGGAUGAAGUGUACUUUCAAUUUAAAGUUGCCAGCUGAUUUGUGUAUGUAUAUAGUUUUAAUAAAUGAAUGCUUUAACA